UACGAAGGGGGCUAGCGUUGCUCGGAAUCACUGGGCGUAAAGCGCACGUAGGCGGCUUCUUAAGUCAGGGGUGAAAUCCUGGAGCUCAACUCCAGAACUGCCUUUGAUACUGAGGAGCUUGAGUCCGGGAGAGGUGAGUGGAACUGCGAGUGUAGAGGUGAAAUUCGUAGAUAUUCGCAAGAACACCAGUGGCGAAGGCGGCUCACUGGCCCGGUACUGACGCUGAGGUGACGAAAGCGUGGGGAGCAAACAGGG
rnacentral:rRNA from 1 species